rnacentral:rRNA from 1 species
CACGUAGGGCGCGAGCGUUGUCCGGAAUUAUUGGGCGUAAAGAGCUCGUAGGCGGCCUGUUGCGUCCGCUGUGAAAGCCCGGGGCUUAACCCCGGGUCUGCAGUGGAUACGGGCAGGCUAGAGGUAGGUAGGGGAGAAUGGAAUUCCCGGUGUAGCGGUGAAAUGCGCAGAUAUCGGGAGGAACACCGGUGGCGAAGGCGGUUCUCUGGGCCUUACCUGACGCUGAGGUGCGAAAGCGUGGGGAGCAAACAGG